rnacentral:misc_RNA from 1 species
GAUGAAGACGUAGCGAAACGCGAUAAGUAAUGUGAAUUGCAGAAUCCAGUGAAUCAUCGAAUCUUUGAACGCACAUUGCGCCCGCCAGCAUUCUGGCGGGCAUGCCUGUUCGAGCGUCAUUUCAACCCUCGACCUCCCCUUGGGGAGGUCGGCGUUGGGGACCGGCAGCACACCGCCGGCCCUGAAAUGGAGUGGCGGCCCGUCCGCGGCGACCUCUGCGCAGUAAUACAGCUCGCACCGGGACCCCGACGCGGCCACGCCGUAAAACACCCAACUUCUGAACGUUGACCUCGAAUCAGGUAGGACUACCCGCUGAACUUAAGCAUAUCAAUAAGCGGAGGA